UUACGGCCAAAUCACGUUGAAAUACCAGUUCCCGUACGAUCUUUGAAGUUAAGCAACGUCGAGCCUAAUCAGCACUUCAAUGGGUAACCACUUGAGAAUACCAGGUGUUGUAA